GGUGACCACCAAACACCAAGUCUUCUUGAAGCAGCUGGUCAGGGCAAACAUCCUGAAAGCAUCGGAGAGGCAAUUCAUGAGUAUUUGUAGUUGACCUUCUUCAUGGGCACUGAGUGCAGUGCUAUCAACAAAUAAGUAUGCACCUCACUUUUGUCUUUGACAUUAGACAUAAUGGAUUGUAGAGUUUGCCAUCUGAUCUUGUCUGAAGGUAUAUGCCUUUCUCCAAGUCAAUCAAAAGCAUAGUGCAGCAGCAUAGAAAAUAUCCUAAAGAGUGUAGGUGCCAGAACACAACCCUGCUUCCCUCCAUUCUUUAUCUCACCCUGUCAGAAGUUGAUCCAUCAAACUGAACUGUGGACUGCAUGUUUUCAUGGAAGGAGUGUAUCAUGUUGAGUCAUCUUGCAGGGCAUCCAAUCUUUACCAGGACCUUGAACAAACCUGUUCUGCUGACAUUGUGAAGGCUUUCAUCAGGUUGACAAAUGCUACAUACAGUGGCUUAUUUUGUUCUCUGCGUUUUUCUUGUAGUUGGUAUACAGAGAAUAUCAUGUCCACUGUUGAUCUCCCUGCUCUGAA